rnacentral:pre_miRNA from 1 species
AUAGAGAUCACUUGUAAAUCUUGUUAAAAUGCAGUUUCUGACUCAGCAGUUCUAGAAUGGAGCCUGAGAGUCUGAAUUUCUAACAAGCUCCCAGGUGAUGUCAAU